GAUGAACGCUGGCGGCGUGCCUAAUACAUGCAAGUCGAGCGAACAGACGAGGAGCCUGCUCCUCUGACGUUAGCGGCGGACGGGUGAGUAACACGUGGAUAACCUACCUAUAAGACUGGGAUAACUUCGGGAAACCGGAGCUAAUACCGGAUAAUAUAUUGAACCGCAUGGUUCAAUAGUGAAAGACGGUUUUGCUGUCACUUAUAGAUGGAUCCGCGCCGCAUUAGCUAGUUGGUAAGGUAACGGCUUACCAAGGCAACGAUGCGUAGCCGACCUGAGAGGGUGAUCGGCCACACUGGAACUGAGACACGGUCCAGACUCCUACGGGAGGCAGCAGUAGGGAAUCUUCCGCAAUGGGCGAAAGCCUGACGGAGCAACGCCGCGUGAGUGAUGAAGGUCUUCGGAUCGUAAAACUCUGUUAUUAGGGAAGAACAAAUGUGUAGGUAACUAUGCACGUCUUGACGGUACCUAAUCAGAAAGCCACGGCUAACUACGUG
rnacentral:rRNA from 1 species